rnacentral:rRNA from 1 species
GACGAACGCUGGCGGCGUGCUUAACACAUGCAAGUCGAACGAUGAAGCCGGAGCUUGCUCUGGUGAAUUAGUGGCGAACGGGUGAGUAACACGUGAGUAACCUGCCCUUGACUCUGGGAUAACUGCUAGAAAUGGUAGCUAAUACCGGAUACGACCCUCGGAGGCAUCUCCAGGGGGUGGAAAGAAUUUAGGUCAAGGAUGGACUCGCGGCCUAUCAGCUAGUUGGUGAGGUAACGGCUCACCAAGGCGACGACGGGCAGCCGGCCUGAGAGGGUGCCCGGCCACACUGGGACUGAGACACGGCCGAGACUCCUACGGGAGGCAGCAGUGGGGAAUAUUGCACAAUGGGCGCAAGCCUGAUGCAGCAACGCCGCGUGAGGGAUGACGGCCUUCGGGUUGUAAACCUCUUUUAGUAGGGAAGAAGCGAAAGUGACGGUACCUGCAGAAAAAGCACCGGCUAACUACGUGCCAGCCGCCGCCGUAA